GUUCGCGUGCGCUUUUUGGCAGUCGUGAUGUGAAGUCCCUCUUGGAGCCAUUCCAAAGGAAAGACACUUCAUCUCAUCUCAAACAGUUGGGAAACGUAUGCUUUCAAGUAGCUCUCCCUCUCCCACUUGGCUUAGAAGAUAAGCUGUGUGCGCGUUCGCUUUUUUCGAGGGCUAAUAAUGCUUCGGAUGCCACUUUUCCUGCAUUCUACUUCACAAAUUUAAUGCCAUUGACGACUAAAUUUGCCACGCAUGCCGCAGAAAAAUCGCCAAACCAUCCCUCUCGGUCACGCCAGUUGCGUGAACCCCCAAGAAUAUAUACGCACCGGCAGCAUCGCCUAAGCAACCCCCAAAAAGAAAGAUCCCUUUUUCUUCCUUUUUCAUCUUCCUUUGGAUCAAGAACCGAGCUCCCCUCAUGCUUUUGGAUCUCCAGAGCUCGUUCUUGAUCAGCCCAGGACUUCAAAAAAAACCCCACGAUGGCUUCCCUAUGGCCGUUUCUUGAAUCUUGAUCUUGACCUAGUUCUAUAGUUAUACAGUAAGGUUUUGGUUAGUGCAGGUGGAGAGUUCCAAAGGGAUCGCAUUGAUCUGAUCAUCGAAGAUACCUGAAUUCGAAUCAAAAGGUUCGAUCUUUUCUUUUUCUCAGUGCCCGUGGAUCAGAUCAUGCGCUCCCUUCGGAAUUCUCCAUCAGAUUGCUCUAAAAUUUCACAUGGCUGUGUGCUAAAUGGUCUCUCUCUCUCCCCCUCCUCUCAAGAGUUCGGGUUUCUUUCUUGUUUGAUUAGCCCAGGAGUUGUGUAAUAUCCUCGUCAGUCAAUCCGUAGAUAGGUUUAUAACUUUAAAUGAGGAUCGCAGACUUGAUCUUCGCGUAAUUUCGCAAGAUGAAAUAGUCCUAGGUAAUUAAUUACGGUCUUGUUCUUGCUAUAAAACCCUAAACAGGUCAUCGUGAAUUUAGCUUUUAUCUUUUCCUGCUGCCUCAAUUCUUGUUAGAUCAUCAAGAAAAAGGUACCAGGGAGCUCUCUUUUAUGCUGGAAAUAGUAAUUGACCGGAAUAAGGCAUGUGCUCUGCGAGAUUAUGAUCACCAAUUGUAUCAACUCUGAUCAUUCAGUAAUUUCAAAUUUAUAAGACUGACAUAUACGUACUGCAUCGGAUCAUUCGCUGUUUUUAAAUUAAUCAUAUCAUAUACCAAGUUUGACAACAUCAUCGUCGCUAUGUUCCUGCAUCCUUCAUGCCCUGAUCUAUCAAUUUCCGAAGCUCCCUUUAGACUUUCGGAAGCUCUCUUUUGUUGAUUAAUCUCUCGAACUCUACUGAAAAAAUUCGACUCUUUCAUUUUAAUCAACUGUGUGGCCAUCGACAGAACGCAAUCAAUCAACCACAAGUACUGGUUCGCUUACGAAAAAGAAGGAAAAGAUCAUGCAUAAGAGUCGCUACUGCGUGACCUUGACAGACCAUAUAAAACCAAGUUUUGCUUGGAUGUAUGUCAUUGCAUGCAUGGUAGUCGUGGAGCACAUGUAGGGAUGAGGGAGACAAAGCAAUUCCAUGAUAUCUUGGGUUUGCAGAAAGCUUUGAGAGACAUGUUAUCCCCUUUAUGUUCUCGGAUCUGUCAACACAGUGUUGAAGAUAUUGUUCUCUA